CCACAGCUACAACCGCACAGAACCAGUAGUAAGCAUCGUUUCUCUUUGAUUCGAUCACUGGGGAUGGCGAGUCUAAGUCUAACA
rfam:Enterococcus asini ATCC 700915 genomic scaffold acvKe-supercont1.4, whole genome shotgun sequence.